GGGCAAAUGGUGUAGUUGGUUAUCACAUCCGCUUAGCAUCGCGCUGAUUGCGGAAGGGGUCCGGUUCAAUUCCGGAUUUGUCCA